UUGCUCCAGGAGCACAUAUACUAAAACUGGAGUGAUACAGAGAUUAGCACAGCCCCUGUAUGAGGAUGACUUGCAAAUUCGUGAAGCAUUUCACAUUUGU
rnacentral:snRNA from 1 species